rnacentral:rRNA from 1 species
UACGAAGGGGGCUAGCGUUGCUCGGAAUCACUGGGCGUAAAGCGCACGUAGGCGGCUUUCUAAGUCAGGGGUGAAAUCCUGGAGCUCAACUCCAGAACUGCCUUUGAUACUGGAGAGCUUGAGUCCGGGGGAGGUGAGUGGAACUCCGAGUGUAGAGGUGAAAUUCGUAGAUAUUCGGAAGAACACCAGUGGCGAAGGCGGCUCACUGGCCCGGUACUGACGCUGAUGUGCGAAAGCGUGGGGAGCAAACAGG